GGGCAUUUGGCACAGUGGUAGCGCGCUUGCUUUGCAUACAUAUUGGUGCUUGCACGAGGUCCAGGGUUCAAUCCCCUGAAUGUCCA